UACGUAGGGUGCAAGCGUUGUCCGGAAUUAUUGGGCGUAAAGAGCGUGUAGGCGGCCCGAUUAGUCCGCUGUGAAAGUCCAGGGCUCAACCCUGGAAUGCCGGUGGAUACUGUCGGGCUAGAGUCCGGAAGGGGCGAGUGGAAUUCCUGGUGUAGCGGUGAAAUGCGCAGAUAUCAGGAGGAACACCGAUGGGGAAGGCAGGUCUCUGGGCCACUACUGACGCUGAGAAGCGAAAGCGUGGGGAGCGAACAGG
rnacentral:rRNA from 1 species